GCUCACGUGGUGGAAUUGGUAGACACGCACGCUUGAGGGGCGUGUGGCCUAACGGCCGUGGAGGUUCGACUCCUCUCGUGAGCA
rnacentral:tRNA from 1 species